rnacentral:rRNA from 1 species
GUCUACAGCCCUGCCACCUCAAAUGCACCCGAUCCCAUCUGAUUUCAGAAGCUAAGCAGGGUCGGGCCUGGUUAGUAAGUAGUUGGAUAGGAGGAAAUUGAGUCCCACUAGAGA